AUUGAACGCUGGCGGCAGGCCUAACACAUGCAAGUCGAACGAGUGGCGGACGGGUGAGUAAUGUCUGGGAAACUGCCUGAUGGAGGGGGAUAACUACUGGAAACGGUAGCUAAUACCGCAUACCAUCAGAUGUGCCCAGAUGGGUUUAGCUUGUUGGUGGGGUAAAGGCUCACCAAGGCGACGAGCCCUAGCUGGUCUGAGAGGAUGACCCGCCAACCUGGAACUGAGACACGGCCCAGACUCCUACGGGAGGCAGCAGUGGGGAAUAUUCCACAAUGGGCGAAAGCCUGAUGGAGCCAUGCCGCGUGUAUUAAGAAGGCCUUCGGGUUGUAAAAUACUUUCAGCGGGGAGGCGGUACCCGAAGAAGAAGCACCGGCUAACUCCGUGCCAGCCGCCGCGGUAAUAC
rnacentral:rRNA from 1 species